AGUGAACGCUGGCGGUAGGCCUAACACAUGCAAGUCGAACGGCCGCACAGUAAGAGCUUGCUCUUACGGGUGGCGAGUGGCGGACGGGUGAGGAAUACAUCAGAAUCUACUUUUUCGUGGGGGAUAACGUAGGGAAACUUCCGCUAAUACCGCAUACGACCUACGGGUGAGAGCAGGGGAUCUUCAGACCUUGCGCGUCUGUUUGAGCCGAUGUCGGAUUAGCUAGUUGGCGAGGUAAAGGCCCACCAAGGCGACGAUCCGUAGCUGGUCUGAGAGGAUGAUCAGCCACACUGGAACUGAGACACGGUCCAGACUCCUACGGGAGGCAGCAGUUGGGAAUAUUGGGCAAUGGGCGCAAGCCUGAUCCAGCCAUACCGCGUGGGUGAAGAAGGCCUUCGGGUUGUAAAGCCCUGUUGUUGGGAAAGAAAAGCAGCAGGUUAAUACCCCGCUGUUCUGACGGUACCCAAAGAAUAAGCACCGGCUAACUUCGUG
rnacentral:rRNA from 1 species